rnacentral:tRNA from 1 species
UAUAUUUUAGUGUAUGAUGCACUUUAAUUUUUGAUAUUAACAGAUAUAGUUUAAUUCUAUAAAAUAUAA